UACGUAGGGGGCAAGCGUUGUCCGGAAUUAUUGGGCGUAAAGCGCGCGCAGGCGGUCAUUUAAGUCUGGUGUUUAAUCCUGGGGCUCAACCCCAGUUCGCAUCGGAAACUGGAUGACUUGAGUGUAAGAGAGGAAGUGGAAUUCCACGUGUAGCGGUGAAUGACGUAGAGAUGUGGAGGAACACCAGUGGCGAAGGCGACUUUCUGGCUUAGUAACUGACGCUGAGGCGGCGAAAGCGG
rnacentral:rRNA from 1 species